rnacentral:rRNA from 1 species
CCUACGGGAGGCAGCAGUGGGGAAUUUUGGACAAUGGGGGAAACCCUGAUCCAGCAAUGCCGCGUGUGUGAAGAAGGCCUUCGGGUUGUAAAGCACUUUUAUUCGGAGAGAAAUCCCUUGGGCUAAUACCCUGAGGGUCUGACGGUACCGGAUGAAUAAGCGCCGGCUAACUACGUGCCAGCAGCCGCGGUAAUACGUAGGGCGCGAGCGUUAAUCGGAAUUACUGGGCGUAAAGCGUGCGCAGGCGGUUUUGUAAGACAGAUGUGAAAGCCCCGGGCUCAACCUGGGAAUUGCAUUUGUGACUGCAAGGCUAGAGUGUGUCAGAGGGAGGUGGAAUUCCGCGUGUAGCAGUGAAAUGCGUAGAGAUGCGGAGGAACACCGAUGGCGAAGGCAGCCUCCUGGGAUAACACUGACGCUCAUGCACGAAAGCGUGGGGAGCAAACAGGAUUAGAUACCCUGGUAGUCCACGCCCUAAACGAUGUCAACUAGUUGUCGGGAAUUAAAUUUCUUGGUAACGCAGCUAACGCGUGAAGUUGACCGCCUGGGGAUACGGCCGNAAGGUUAAAACUUAAAGGGAAUUGACGG